rnacentral:rRNA from 1 species
GAUGAACGCUGGCGGCGUGCUUAACACAUGCAAGCCGAACGGAAAGGCCCAAGCUUGCUUGGGUACUCGAGUGGCGAACGGGUGAGUAACACGUGGGUGAUCUGCCCUGCACUUCGGGAUAAGCCUGGGAAACUGGGUCUAAUACCGGAUAGGACGAUGGUUUGGAUGCCAUUGUGGAAAGUUUUUUCGGUGUGGGAUGAGCUCGCGGCCUAUCAGCUUGUUGGUGGGGUAAUGGCCUACCAAGGCGUCGACGGGUAGCUGGCCUGAGAGGGUGUACGGCCACAUUGGGACUGAGAUACGGCCCAGACUCCUACGGGAGGCAGCAGUGGGGAAUAUUGCACAAUGGGCGCAAGCCUGAUGCAGCGACGCCGCGUGGGGGAUGACGGCCUUCGGGUUGUAAACUCCUUUCGCUAGGGACGAAGCGUUUUUGUGACGGUACCUGGAGAAGAAGCGCCGGCUAACUACGUG